rnacentral:rRNA from 1 species
CGAAUGCUGACAUAAGUAACGAUAAAGCGGGUGAAAAGCCCGCUCGCCGGAAGACCAAGGGUUCCUGUCCAACGUUAAUCGGGGCAGGGUGAGUCGACCCCUAAGGCGAGGCCGAAAGGCGUAGUCGAUGGGAAACAGGUUAAUAUUCCUGUACUUGGUGUUACUGCGAAGGGGGGACGGAGAAGGCUAUGUUGGCCGGGCGACGGUUGUCCCGGUUUAAGCGUGUAGGCUGGUUUUCCAGGCAAAUCCGGAAAAUCAAGGCUGAGGCGUGAUGACGAGGCACUACGGUGCUGAAGCAACAAAUGCCCUGCUUCCAGGAAAAGCCUCUAAGCAUCAGGUAACAUCAAAUCGUACCCCAAACCGACACAGGUGGUCAGGUAGAGAAUACCAAGGCGCUUGAGAGAACUCGGGUGAAGGAACUAGGCAAAAUGGUGCCGUAACUUCGGGAGAAGGCAC